UGCUGAUUUACUGGUCAAUGAAAUAAAGAACUAAUAUUUGUUAAUUUUUAAAAAGCAUUUCUGUUUAUUCCAUAUUUAUCAGGAAUCAUUAAUUUGAGCUCAUUCAGGUUUAACACCAGAAAAUGGAAAACAGAACCUUUAGACACCUGCUGGCAAUUAAGGAAAUGUAAAAUGCUUCAAUUUUAUUUUAGCCAGAGGAAAAAAGUAUAAUAAGGUUCUAUGCACAACAGUAUUGGAUUUAUGCAGUAAAUGUGUUUCUGAAUUGUAAGUUAACAAACUGCUUUCAAUACAAGAAUGCAGCGCUGUGGUUAAGAGCAUAGCCUUGAACAAGUUACUCAAUCCCUAUGAGCCUCAGAUUCCUCAUCUUUAGAAUGGAGAUGAUGUUAGUACCUAGAGGACCAAAUGAAAUAAACAUUAGGUGUUUAUUUUUAACAUAGUUACCUAUUUUGUUUCCUGGGUGACUUGCUUACCUGAUUUCUGAGAUGAUAGCUAAACACACACACACACACACACACACACACACACACACACACACAUUGCAUUUUUAGAGAUACAUGUAACAGAGUGUUACCGAGUACUGGACCCAUUGAUAGGAAUUGUAAUGCUGAGGCACCCAACUUAAAGCACAUUUUUAGAUAGAUGGGCACUUAGGUAGGUUCUGUCUAGAAAUCCACUGGCUUCUGGUUUGCUUAGUGUUAGAGCCUACUAGAAACUUGCGGAUAAAAUGGUAAAUUAGUUUGAAGCUUUUAAGAGAUAUUUUAUUCUUUCCAUCAUAACUGAAUUAAACAUACAAGUUUCUGUGGGUGACUGUAGAAAUUGUCUCCACAGAAAAGGUAAAAUUCCCUUUUGUAAAACUAGGCUCUCUUCUCAUUAUCAUUCUUCAUUUUCAGUGAAACUGCUUUUAAAAAUGAUGGAUGUUAAUGAUCACUUUACUUAGAAGGUGUCAUCAUUUAUAUAAAAAAUAGAGCAAGUUGGAUGAACAGUUAGAAUUAUAACUUGGAGGCUUAGGCAAUAUGGGGAAAAUAAAAGCCAUCUUUCUCCAAAUAACUGAGAAUUUAUUAUUUACUAAGAACUUGAUGGAAACAAAGCAUUACCUUAAAAAUCAUAAUGCUCAAAUAUCUCUCACUCAAACUUACCAGACUCAAUUUAUAGGCAAUAAAAUGAAUGGAACUUACUUUUGACCAGAAAAAUGUGUCUUACUCAUCACAUUUGGAAUCUGAAUUAGGUAUAUUCCAGUUUAGUAAUAGCUCAAUUUAUUGGAAAUUUUUAAUAACUAGUUAAAUGUUCAUGUGCAUUUGAAAUAUGAAUCUCUUUUUUUUUUUUUUUUUUUUUGAGACGGAGUCUCGCUCUGUCGCCCAGGCUGGAGUGC
rnacentral:lncRNA from 1 species